AAAGGUAACAACAAAGCUGCUCUCAGUCAAUGAGCGAGGAUAGCGACGAGGCUACCAGGUCGGCAGCAUAGUCCGGGGGCGCGAAACGGAGCAGGAUUCCCGUGAGAGAACGGUCGACGGAGAGGUCAUCAGGGGAGCUCGCUGGCCAGGAGGAACGACGCGAGGUGGACGCGGUGUUGUGACGAGGCGCGCCUACCGUACUGAUCUGAUAUAAGAGAGCGUUCAAUUUCUUUUUUUACACCGCAGUUUGAUGCAAUUUCUAAGUAAUUUUACACGCAAUAUAGAGCGUGAGCGUGAGCCUAUGUUCCCCGACGGAAAACUACGAGUGCGAGAUGUCGUUUUUCCGAAGGCUACUGGAAGAUGCUAAACAAUGAUCAUUAUGCGUCCUUCGUGUUUCGAUUCGACGCCUCAAGGCUCGCACGUCUAAGCGUAUGCGAGCGUAUUGUCGGAAGUCAAGAGAUCUGGUCGACGCUCUGGACGCUGGCUUCGCUCGUCACCGAUAAAAAUGAAAGCAUCGCGGCCCGAUGGAAGGGCAGUGACGUGGACGGCGCGGCGCGUUCGGAGAGCGAGAGGAGACAAAGCGAGAAAACGGCGAGAUCGGUCGAGCGAUUCGACAGAGGGAGAAAGACGACGACAGGCAAUGGUAAUAUCGCGAGUGGGAGAGACGUGAACUCUCAUUACUCGCAACCGUACCGUACAGGAUGCCUCAAAAGUCGCCUGGCUUCUUUCGGGGCCUAUACGAUCGCUCGAAUCCCAAGACGAUGCUAUAUAGCUGUCGCUGCGAAGGAUUAUUAUUAUUAGCGUUCCUGUGUCACAAUUACUUUCCCUACUCUCGCUUGCUCUCCUCUUCCCUUUCUUUCAACGUAAUAAUAAUAUUUUAUUAUUAUUGUGAUUAUAUCACGACUGUGUGUUACUACGUGAACUAACGUGUACCAAAUUAUUUCCGCAUAUAGCGCGGGCGGUACGCCGCGACGCGAGCCGAGAAAGUAGCCAAAUAGAUGCGAACCGGUUCGCAAUCCUUCUGCUAACCGUGGAAAAAAAGGGAAAGAGGAGCCGGAGGGAGGAAGAGAGAGAAUGUGAUGUAGACACCUCGUUGAAAGAGAAAGAUAACGCGCGACGGUCAUCGCGAUACUUCGGUAGCGUUCGUUCAUUUAUAUGCCAACGUCUCCGUAUCACGGAGAUCUUGAUCGCGCGCGAUCAUAAUCUUUCGCGCACUUGAUCGUUGAACGUCGAGUGUGGAGUGUGGGUCACCGGAAUGAUAGGAGAACGGUUUGUUACGUUGUUUGAUCAUGGUGAUAGGUUGUAGUUUCAGCUCAGAAACGUACAGAUUGCGCGUUAUUAGCGGUUCGAGAGCCAUACCGGAAACGGUCGCUCCGAGCACAAUCGCUGCCAGCGAAAGAACGCGCGAGAUACCGCGGAGAUAAUUAAAAAAUAAUUAAGUUCAUUUACGUUCUUUGAUUUUCUGGGACGCUGCAAGAAAUUAGCAUGGAGUUUAUCGGGGAAAUCAGAAAAGUGCAUGUCUUUUUUAUCACACACACAAUGGAAACUUUAAAUUUCUAAAUCCAAAUCUCAAAAUUUUGUAGAUUGCGAUAUCAAACAAAAGAAUUUUAAGAUAUCGUUAUAUAAUGAAAUAUAGAUUAUUCAAUAAUAUAUCGGCAUGCACAUCUAUAUUUGUUUACUCUUUUAAUAAUUCGCGAUAUUGAUACCAAUAUCUUGUUUCGUAAUAAUGAGAUAUAAUAACGUGCAGAAGUGUUUAUGUUUAUCUUUUCUCGUAAUCACUCGUAAUCGAACGGAAAUUUGUUACAUCACAGAUGAUUGUGACAUAAAUAACAAAUUUAAAUGUAUUUUGCAGUUGAAUAUCAAAUAUCUCAUCUUAACCGUCGCAAAUUAAAUGUAUUUUGCAGUUGAAUAUCAAAUGUCUCAUCUUAACCGUCGCAAAUUAAAUGCUUUACACUAAACGCCGGACAUAAACGAUCGCGAUAAAUCCUCGUGAAAACACACGCUAUACACCCAUCUCCCUCGCAUUUCUUCACGAAGAAAGACAUAAAAGAGCGCAGCUUCUCGCCUUCUAAUUUCCCCCUUCUCCCUUUCGCCUCGGAAUGGAGAGUUUGAUUUCUUGCACGCUCGCGUCUCUCCCCGCCAAGCUAAUUCUGCUCUCUAUCUCAAAGGGAAAAAAGAGAGAAAAAAAAUAGGAGGGAGAAAAACUAUCAUAAUGAUACCGAAUUAGCGUCGCGUCCUAAUCGGUGGACCGUAUUAGAGAUGUGUCAGAAAGCGGCGGGUCGAGGCCGAUGAAAUAUUCCCAUCGGCUCUCGCAUUCUAAACUAUCGUAACCCUGGCACGAUCCACAUCCACGCUCCAUUCGUCUCGCGGAAUUGUCGACCAGCACCGUCACAGGCGUCACAGCAUCGCCCGCGUUCAUAAUUUGCAUCUCCCUUCCUUCCUCCUGUUCCCUCCCCCUCCCCCCCCCUCGAUACCGUUUAUAGCGUUUCCGAAGGAGAAAUCGAAACGGUAAAAUUCAGAUGACGAGGAUGAAUCCAAUUCGAGAGACACGCCUUCUUAAAAAUUUUUUAGAUUCUCCACGAAAGAAUAAUGUUUGAGGAUCUCUUAGAUGCCUCUAGAAAACCUGGUGCGUCUCUUCUAAUCGCGGUUAAUAGAAAUCUAUUAUUUGCAGUGAAUUAAACGGCGCACGCGAGCGUGCGGAUAACGCAGACCUCUCGCGACUUGAGCCGAGCGGUUGUCUUUACACGCAAUCAAUGGUUCUCGCGCAAUAUAAGGAAAGAACAAAAAAAAAGAAAAUA